rnacentral:rRNA from 1 species
UACGUAGGGUGCAAGCGUUGUCCGGAAUUAUUGGGCGUACAGAGCUCGUAGGCGGUCUGUCGCGUCUGCUGUGAAAACUCAGGGCUUAACCCUGAGCUUGCAGUGGGUACGGGCAGACUAGAGUGCGGUAGGGGAGACUGGAAUUCCUGGUGUAGCGGUGAAAUGCGCAGAUAUCAGGAGGAACACCGGUGGCGAAGGCGGGUCUCUGGGCCGUAACUGACGCUGAGGAGCGAAAGCAUGGGGAGCGAACAGG